GCCAGACUCCUACGGGAGGCAGCAGUGGGGGAUAUUGCACAAUGGGGGGAACCCUGAUGCAGCGACGCCGCGUGGGUGAAGGAGCGUUUCGGCGCGUAAAGCCCUCUCGGCAGGGAAGAAGGAGGACGGUACCUGACUAAGAAGCCCCGGCUAACUACGUGCCAGCAGCCGCGGUAAUACGUAGGGGGCAAGCGUUAUCCGGAUUUACUGGGUGUAAAGGGGGCGCAGACGGCAGCGCAAGCCAGGAGUGAAAGCCCGGGGCCCAACCCCGGGACUGCUCUUGGAACUGCGCGGCUGGAGUGCAGGAGGGGCAGGCGGAAUUCCUGGUGUAGCGGUGAAAUGCGUAGAUAUCAGGAGGAACACCGGUGGCGAAGGCGGCCUGCUGGACUGCGACUGACGUUGAGGCUCGAAAGCGUGGGGAGCAAACAGGAUUAGAUACCCUAGUA
rnacentral:rRNA from 1 species